CAAAUGACUCUCGGCAACGGAUAUCUCGGCUCUGGUUACGAUGAAGAAAGUAGCGAAAUACGAUACUUAGUGUGAAUUGCAGAAUCCCGUGAAUCAUCGAGUCUUUGAACGCAAUUUGCCCCCGAGACCUCGGUAGAGGGCACGUUUGUGUGGGCGUCGCAU
rnacentral:rRNA from 1 species